UACGUAGGUGGCAAGCGUUGUCCGGAAUCAUUGGGCGUAAAGCGCGCGUAGGCGGCCCGGUAAGUCCGCUCUGAAAGUCCAGGGCUCAACCCUGGAAAGCGGGUGGAUACUGCCGGGCUAGAAUCCGGAAGAGGCGAGUGGAAUUCCUGGUGUAGCGGUGGAAUGCGCAGAUAUCAGGAGGAACACCAAUAGCGAAGGCAGCUCGCUGGGACGGUAUUGACGCUAAGGCGCGAAAAGCGUGGGGAGCAAACAGGG
rnacentral:rRNA from 1 species